rnacentral:rRNA from 1 species
CCUACGGGAGGCAGCAGUGAGGAAUAUUGGUCAAUGGGCGCGAGCCUGAACCAGCCAAGUCGCGUGAGGGAAGACGGUCCUAUGGAUUGUAAACCUCUUUUGUCGGGGAGCAAAAGACUCCACGCCUGGCGUUCCGAGAGUACCCGAAGAAAAAGCAUCGGCUAACUCCGUGCCAGCAGCCGCGGUAAUACGGAGGAUGCGAGCGUUAUCCGGAUUUAUUGGGUUUAAAGGGUGCGCAGGCGGAAGAUCAAGUCAGCGGUAAAAUUGAGAGGCUCAACCUCUUCGAGCCGUUGAAACUGGUUUUCUUGAGUGAGUGAGAAGUAUGCAGAAUGCGUGGUGUAGCGGUGAAAUGCAUAGAUAUCACGCAGAACUCCGAUUGCGAAGGCAGCAUACCGGCGCUCAACUGACGCUCAUGCACGAAAGUGUGGGUAGCGAACAGGAUUAGAUACCCCUGUAGUC